rnacentral:lncRNA from 1 species
UGUUAAUUGUCUUUGAUUGAUGUUGCUUUCGAAAAAAAAAGGUAAAAAUAACAACAAAUAACGAACGACGAGGAAAAUUUAAGAUGGAAAAUCCAUAAUUAGAUGUAAAAAUUAAAAGAUCAAACACACAAACGAAUGGAUAACAACUGUCAUAUUUCUGACUCGGUACGCGCAUUUUCUUAUGUAGAAAAUAGUAGAUGAAACUUUGUUUUAUAGCUAGCGUAACCUCUCGUUUUUAUGACAGUCGCAUAAAAUUCCAUCAUAUGGACAACGAUGGGUGAACAAAACGAACAGAAAUAAUAGGUAUUAAUGUUAGAAAUUAGGGUACAGCAGUCAACAUUGUGUAAAACUCUUAAUUACUAUAAAAACAAAGAAAUAUGUAACAAACAAACACGAACAAUACAUGUGUAAUAUCUAAAAAAAAAAAGGAGAAAAUAAUGAAGGACAUAAAUACAUAUACCUCCUAUUUCAGAAUCUCCUUACUUCCUAUUUGCAUCAAUAUUAUCAGUUGAUUGCUUUAGCGGUUAGUCUUCAAAUGAAGGAUUAUGGGUUUUAUCUAUAUUAUAAGUUUGUCUCAAAACUAUAUUAGACCAGUUGUAGUGGUUUCAACAAAAACAAGGGCACUGCAAUAUUUACACAUAUGUCUGUUUAACCAAAACCCUUAGAUGACCUUAUAAAACAAAGAAAUAUGUAUCAAAUAAACACAAACAGGCAUAAAGACAAAACACAUUUGUAUAAUGAAUCACAAAAAUACAAAAUUUUAGCACAGCACAUUAACGCAAUGACGGGAUGUAUAAGUAUGAAGCCACCUCAUAUGUAACGAAAAAAAAACACAAAAAGGAAUAUUCACAAAGCACACUUUCUAAAAAAGCAUUAUCAUUGCCUUAUCGACAAAAGCCCCAAAAAAAUAUUCCUGGCAAACAAAUAUAAUAAUUUAAGUUGUCUCCACUUGGGGUCAAUUACACAAGUUACUACCGAGAUAUAUAACUGGACUUUUAAUAAUCUUUUAAAAGAGAUGCUCCCAUAAGAAAAAGUGAGAAUCUUAGACAUACUUUGACCUUCGAUGGUAAAUUUUCAAAUUAUUGUCGAAUGAUCAUAAAACAAAAUCAUCGUAGGUAUUUAAAGUUUUAUAUUAAUGAGGUGCUCCAACAUUGUCUACUUAUUUUACCUUAUCAAUAUAAGGUUAAAUAAAAAAACGUCGACACAAUUCAAUGUCAUCUGAUCGCUUCGGUCAGAUCAACUUUCCGAACAAAAGUUUUAUCGAUAUCGUUUCUGUAACAACAUACUUUCACAAUAGAAGCAAAAUAAUGGAAGGUCAAUUAAUCGAUCAAACCCGAA